CGCUGCCCGGCGUGGUGUCGCUCAGCCCGGCCUACCGCGCCGGGAGCGACCUGGCGGGCGAGGAGGUCACGCUGCUGGCGGUGG
rnacentral:tRNA from 1 species